GUCGUAACAAGGUAGCCGUAGGGGAACCUGGGGCUGGAUCACCUCCUUUAAAGAAACCGGAAUAAGGCGUGAAAGCGCCCACACAAUUUGCCUAAUCUAUAGAUAGACCGCGGGUCUGUAGCUCAGUUGGUUAGAGCGCACCCCUGAUAAGGGUGGGGUCGGAAGUUCAAAUCUUCCCAGACCCACCACCUUCGCGCGAGUAGGAGCAAGAAGGUAGCAAGGGGCCAUAGCUCAGAUGGGAGAGCACCUGCUUUGCAAGCAGGGGGUCGGCGGUUCGAUCCCGCCUGGCUUCACCAGGCGAUAAACUGCGGCGGCAAUUUGCCGCCGCCGUUUAAUUCCUGGCCGAGGCGCCACGGGACGUUCUUUUACAACUUAGGUAGUAGUGAUGUACGACGGUGAAGUCGGGGCAGAGUUUGACGUCCUGACUUUACUGGGUAUGCCAGCAUUUAUUAUGGUAGUAGUUGUAACACCAAGAAGAGCAGUCUUUUUGGGGUUAUAUGAUCAAGCGACUAAGCGCGCAUGGUGGAUGCCCUUGGC
rnacentral:misc_RNA from 1 species